AUGAGAUGGAAUCAAUGGUUGGAUAUAUGAUUUUACGUUGAUUCCAUCUCAUGA
rnacentral:pre_miRNA from 1 species